UGGCGUCAGGAUGAACGCUGGCGGCGUGCCUAAUACAUGCAAGUCGAGCGAGAAGCUACUUUGUAAGCGUUUUCGGGUACAAUUCUGUGUAGUGGAAAGCGGCGGACGGGUGAGUAACGCGUAGGCAACCUGCCCUUAGCAGAGGGAUAGCCAUUGGAAACGAUGAUUAAAACCUCAUAAAGCUGUUGAGACACAUGUUUUAACAGCCAAAGAUUUAUCGGCUAAGGAUGGGCCUGCGUCUGAUUAACUAGUUGGCGGGGUAACGGGCCCACCCAAGGUGACGAUCAGUAGCCGACCUGAGAGGGUGAUCGGCCACAUUGGAACUGAGACACGGUCCAAACUUCUACGGAAGGCAGCAGUAAGGAAUCUUGCACAAUGGGGGAAACCCUGAUGCAGCAACGCCGCGUGAGUGAUGACGGCCUUCGGGUUGUAAAGCUCUGAUCUUGGGGAAGAAGAAAGUGACGGUACCCAAGGAGAAAGCCCGGCUAACUACGUGCC
rnacentral:rRNA from 1 species